rnacentral:lncRNA from 1 species
UUCGGUUCUAUUUUUGCUCUUAGGGGUUCUGGAGGAGUAUGGCGUUCAAAGCCAAUCUUUGCCGUUCUUUUAUGAACGAACACAGAGAACGCGGCAAAGACUGGUCAGACGAUGAUAUCAACGAGAAAGCUAAUAUCGCCUGGUUGCAGGCGGCCGGUAGAGUUUUAACUGUGAACAAAAGGGCGCAAACAAAAAACGCUUUCUGCGGGAGAGAGAGUGACUUUUGAGUGGGCAGUAUUCAACUCAGAUGUUUUUCUUUUCUCUCCCUGAAAGCAAGGGAAGUGUUUAAAGACCCGUCUUAGUGCAAGCAACCCAGAAGACAUUAGCCUGCAGGCACUUGCGGACACAUUCACAAACAACGGUGUUCAUUAUGCAGCUAGGAAAUAAGAUAGGAGGUAGCAGAAUUUCAGAUUUUCACAUGAAACGAACCCUUCAGGCAUCAGGGACUUUGCCCUCUGUCUCAAGAAAUAAGCCACCAUUCCAAAUGUUGCCACACUGCAUACGGACCUCAGCCAGCUCUUGUACUCGGUCAUUGUCCCAACAUAUCCCCGGUUUCUUACCACCUGGGGGAUCUCACAUGCUUUUGUGCAAACCCCACACAAUCCUAAUUUCCAC